rnacentral:lncRNA from 1 species
UUUUUUUUAAUCGGUAAAUAAAUUUGUAUUGAUCAAAAUUGGGUAAAAUUACUCCGGGCAUACAAAGUAAAUCAUUACAAAGAUCCAAUGAUCUAGUGAUCCAAACCAAGUGACGGAAUAUAAUUCAAAAUAUUACAAACUUGGUUAAUAUAUCAAAAUCCUCUUUAGAGAACAACCGUAAGUAGCCAUUAACUUUCAAACAAGCAGGCUGCUGGAAAUCAAUGCAAGUAUCUGGACGAGACAAAUGCUGCCAUGAACCUUUGAUUGCAUUCAUGCAAAGUGGAUAGGCUUCAAUGAAACGUCAUUUUCUGUUGUAUAAUUCAAACAGCUGGAAGGCAGGCUGCUUGAAUUAAAAAUCUGUAGGGACCGAUGAUGCAGGCAAAUCUUAAAUGGCAGAAAGAAAGCAGCUGGACGGCAAGCUGCUUGCUGGCAAAGAUCUGUUGCACAUGGGACUGAAUCACUGCCUAACCAGGCUAGUGCUUAAAUUUUGGUCAAAAAGUUCAAAUUUUUUUGAAAUUUAUGCCAAAAAAGGAAACAUAUAACUGCAGAAACAGUCAACAUUACAAAAAUAUUGCAGGAGAUUUGUCUGGUAAACAAUUGAAAUUGAUAAGCCAGAAACAUUAAUUUUAAAUUUGGG